UACGGGAGGCAGCAGUGGGGAAUUUUGCCCAAUGGGGGAAACCCUGACGCAGCAACGCCGCGUGGGGGAUGAAGCCCUUUGGGAUGUAAACUCCUUUCGACCGGGACGAUAAUGACGUAC
rnacentral:rRNA from 1 species